rnacentral:misc_RNA from 1 species
GAUGAAGAACGUAGCGAAAUGCGAUACGUAGUGUGAAUUGCAGAAUUCAGUGAAUCAUCGAAUCUUUGAACGCACAUUGCGCCCCCUGGUAUUCCGGGGGGCAUGCCUGUUCGAGCGUCAUUUCACCACUCAAGCCUCGCUUGGUAUUGGGCAACGCGGUCCGCCGCGUGCCUCAAAUCGACCGGCUGGGUCUUCUGUCCCCUAAGCGUUGUGGAAACUUUCGCUAAAGGGUGUUCGGGAGGCUACGCCGUAAAACAACCCCAUUUCUAAGGUUGACCUCGGAUCAGGUAGGGAUACCCGCUGAACUUAAGCAUAUCAAUAAGCGGAGGA